UUAUCAUGGCCUAAUUCUGAAUUCCCAAUUAGUUCCACAGUUUCUCUUGAAAAUGUGUCUCUAAGUAAAUUUUGGCACUGCUCAAUUGCAUUUUCCAACUUUUGCAGCCAUAAGCAAGUGAAAUGGCCACAGAAACAGACUAUUCUUCCAGGCUGUUAGUUUAACAUCUCCCUAAAGCUCCCUUAAAGCUACGAUAUGUACGUUUUGGGGCAACCCAACAAUAAUUCACAUAGAAAUGUUAGUUAAAGAUCUGUCAUUCUCAUUUAAAGUAAGUCUAAGAAGCGGUAGGUCUGUUUUGGUUAUGUAAAAUAUAUUAGGUGAACUAUUAGAAUUUUAGCAAUCAGGAAAUGGCAGAGCAUCUCUUAGGCCCUUGGGGAGCAUGUAGGUGAUGAGUGCUGCGUCGUUGUGUUGGGGUUAGGAACCUCUCUGUCAGUGGAAGGAGAGACAGGAAGAGAGAGGAGGUAAUGUGAAGAGGGAUGAGGAGAUAGAGAAACAGAUAAAAGGAGGGAGGAUUCAGUGAUAAAGAGAUACAGGAGAGUGUGUAAGGGUGAGGUAGAGAGAGAUACAGGAGAGAGAGAUUGUGUAAGGGUGAGGUAGAGAGAGAUACUGGGUGAGGUAGAGAGAGAUACAGAAGAGAUUGUGUGAGGGUGAGGUAGAGAGAGAUACAGGGAGUGAGGACAGGGGGGGACAGAGUUCCUUUGCUGUCUUUUUUGUCAUUAGUCUACUGUUGAUACAGUCCCAACAUGUUUUCCUGUCAGCAGUCAAGUUUUCAAGAUAUUGGACUCAAGAUAUGUAUCUUGAAAAUUUGGUUGAUGACAUGCAAAACAUUUUGGGACUGUAUCAACGGUAGAGUAAUGACAAAAAGACCAAAAUAUCGUUUUUGAUUGGAUUAUUCCUUCAACGCUCAUACAACAUACUGACUCACUGAGGGUGACAACGAUGCACCAAAAAUGCAAAAAUCUCCUUCUCUCUCUCCUCUCCUCCCUAUUUUUUAAAAUUUCACCUUUAUUUAACUAGGCAAGUCAGUUAAGAACAUAUUCUUAUUUUCAAUGACGGCCUAGGAACGGUGGGUCAACUGCCUUGUUCAGGGGCAGAACGGCAGAUUUUCACCUUGUCAGCUCGGAGGAUUCAAUCUUGCAAACUUACAGUUAACUAGUCCAACGCUCUAACCACCUGCCUCUCAUUGCACUCCACGAGGAGGCUGCCUGUUACGCGAAUGCAGUAGAAGCCAAAGUAAGUUGCUAGCUAGCAUUAAACUUAUCUUAUUAAAAAAAAUCAAUCAUAAUCACUAGUUAUAACUACACAUGCUUGAUGAUAUUACUAGUUUAUCUAGCGUGUCCUGUGUUGCAUAUAAUCGAUGCAACGCUGGGGGAUGAUUUAACAAAAGCGCAUUUGCGAAAAAAGCACAAUUGUUGGACGACUGUACCUAACCAUGAACACCAAUGCCUUUCUUAAAAUCAAUACACAGAAGUAUAUAUUUUUAAACCUGCAUAUUUAGCUAAAAGAAAUCCAAGUUAGCAAGCAAUAUUAACCAGGUGAAAUUGUGUAAUUUCUCUUGCGUUCAUUGCACGCAGAGUCAGGGUAUAUGCAACAGUAUGGGCAGCCUGGAUCAUUGCGAACUAAUUUGCCAGAAUUUUACGUAAUUAUGACAUAACAUUGAAGGUUGUGCAAUGUAACAAGAAUAUUUAGACUUAGGGAAGCCACCCAUUAGAUAAAAUACUGAACGGUUCCGUAUUUCACUGAAAUAAUAAACAUUUUGUUUUCGAAAUGAUAGUUUCCGGAUUCGACCAUAUUAAUGACCAAAGGCUCAUAUUUCUGUGUGUUAUUAAGUUAUAAUUAAGUCUAUGAUUUGAUAGAGCAGUCUGACUGAGCGCUGUGCUCUUCGCAAGCACAGCGCUGCUUAUGACUUCAAGCCUAUCAGCCUAAUGGCUGGUGUAACCGAUGUGAGAUGGCUAGCUAGUUAGCUGGGUGUGCGCUAAUAGCGUUUCAAACGUCACUCACUCUGAGACUUGGAGUAGUUAUUCCCCUUGCUCUGCAAGGGCCGCGGCUUUUGUAGAGUGAUGGGUAAUGCUGCUUCGAGUGUGGUUGUUGUCGAUCUGUUCCUGGUUCGAGCCCAGGUAGGGGCGAGGAGAGGGACGGAAGCUAUACUGUAACCCUGGCAAUACUAUAGUGCCUAUAAGAACAUCCAAUAGUCAAAGGUAUAUGAAAUACAAAUGGUAGAGAGAAAUAGUCCUAUAAAUACUAUAUUAACUACAACCUAAAACUUCUUACCUUGGAAUAUUGAAGUCUCAUGUUAAAAGGAACCACCAGAUUUCAUAUGUUCUCAUGUUCUGAGCAAGGAACUUAAACGUUAACUUUUUUACAUGUCACAUAUUGCACUUUUACUUCUCCAACACUUUGUUUUUGCAUUAUUUAAACCACAUUGAACAUGUUUCAUUAUCUAUUUGAGGCUAAAUGGAUUUUUAUUGAUGUAUUAUAUUAAGUUAAAAUAAGUGUUCAUUCAGUAUUGUUGUAAUUGUCAUUAUUACAAAUACAUUUAAUAAAAAUCGUCCGAUUAA
ensembl:lncRNA